UACGGAAGGCAGCAGUGGGGAAUAUUGGACAAUGGGCGCAAGCCUGAUCCAGCCAUGCCGCGUGUGUGAAGAAGGCCUUUUGGUUGUAAAGCACUUUAAGCGAGGAGGAGGCUCUCUUAGUUAAUACCUAAGAUGAGUGGACGUUACUCGCAGAAUAAGCACCGGCUAACUCUGUGCCAGCAGCCGCGGUAAUACAGAGGGUGCGAGCGUUAAUCGGAUUUACUGGGCGUAAAGCGUGCGUAGGCGGCUUUUUUAAGUCGGAUGUGAAAUCCCCGAGCUUAACUUGGGAAUUGCAUUCGAUACUGGGAAGCUAGAGUAUGGGAGAGGAUGGUAGAAUUCCAGGUGUAGCGGUGAAAUGCGUAGAGAUCUGGAGGAAUACCGAUGGGCGAAGGGCAGCCAUCUGGGCCUAAUACUGACGCUGAGGUACGAAAGCAUGGGGAGCAAACAGGGAUUAGGAUAACC
rnacentral:rRNA from 1 species